AAAAAACAGAAAAACAUUUCCGAAAAAUAUAAUUUUGAUUUGAAUCUAAUGGAGAUUUUCAAAGAAUAUCGAUUUGCGUUUGCGAGUGUUGUAAAAAUGUCUAGAUUGCAAAAAUUGUUUUCUAUUGCUUAGAGAAACAAUAUUGCUACAAGAGUAGAAGUAAAAGUCGGAAAGUAUGUAACAGGUAGAAGGAAGCGUAUUCCUAUAAAGUGUAUAAAUUCUUGAUCACGAUCACAAGCGGAGUCGAUCUAGCCAUGACCAUGACCGUCGGAAACUAUUAUAGUGAGAAAGAUGGGACUUGGCAUGUAGAUUCUCGAGCUUCUUGUGCAGCGCAAGUUUAUUUAUAUGAUUUUCUAAAGUUAAGGGCGAAUUUCACUCAUUCAUAAAAAAAGUCAGAAUAGAUAGGUUAGGUUAGGUAGGUAUGGCUGGAGACUAGACAACUAGUCCCCCCACUUAGGCCACACUGGGCCCCUUGUGAUACCAUGUAAUCUCUGUGCAGAUCCUUUUCCCUAGCUCAUGGGUUAUUGGGUUUCUCGAACAAGUUUGUUCUUUUAAGGAAACAUAGGAGUUUGGGAAUGCUUACGCCCUGUAUGGCCGCAAGGUUCGGAAGUGUGUAGCUCCCUAGGGCUUGAAAACGUUUGAGGUUAUGCGCUGGGCAGAAGCAUAGGAGGUGUUCAAGGCUCUCCUCUUCGUCUGCUUUCAGCUGCGGCAGUAGUCGUGGUUGCUGAGUAAGACUUAUAAGACAAUGGCCCGUGAGGGCAGUUAUGAGAGUGGAAAUGUCUUCCCUGUUGCAUUGUAGGAGAGUUUUUGUUUUUUUCGGGUUGUAGUUUGGCCAAGUGAGCCUGGAAUUGUGGCAAGUUGAGGUUGCGCUCCAUCGGUUGUUGGAGAGGCUGUACAAUCUCUGCCUAAGGAGGAGCUUACAGGUAGCCAUGUGCACACCCACGGUGUCCUUAUCGCGAAGGAUAUCGGCGUUUGUCCCUUGUCUUGCUAACUGGUCUGCUAUGCAGUUGCCCUCAAUAUUACGGUGUCCAGGCAUACAGAUGAGGUUGAUUCUCAGAUGAGUGACCAUGUCAUACAGAGAUUUGCGGCAUUCAAAGAUGGUUGCUGAGCUAGCUGUAUAGGAGACGGGGGCCCUGAGGACUGCUUGACUAUCCGAAACGAUGUAAAUGUCUGUGUCGUGAUGUUCUGAUGUAUCCAGGAGGGACAUGGCUUCCUGGAUUGCCAUGACUUCCUGUUGGAAAACACUACAGUGAUGUGGUAGGCGAAAUCAGACCUUAAUGUCCAGUUCAGGCGAGAACACUCCCCCACCUGCUUGGAAAUAAGCUUGGAGCCGUAUGUUGACGUCGUUUUCGAAUUGGUUUGGGAGGAUGUCCCAGUCUGAACGGGUAGGUAUGAAGAUCUUGUAUCUUCUUUCGAAGUUGACUAUGGGUGAAACGUAGUCUUUAUCUGAUUUGCGAUCAGGAAAUUUUCCUUGCCGCAGGAUAACCACGUCGUCCACGUAACCACUUUAGUGCCCGCUUUCUGUAGAAGUGACAGUAGUUUGUUGACCACUAUUACCCAUAGAAGAGGUGAGGGUACACCGCCUUGCCGGGUUCCUCUACUGAAAGUCCUGGUCGACUGUGCGGGUCCCAUAGUAGAGUAUGAGUCCCACUAUAGGCCGCUCAAUGCCAAGUGCAGUCAGAGCACCGUUGAUAGCAGUUGGGGUGACGCUGUUGAAGGUGCCUUCUAUGUCUAGAAAAGCUGCCAAAGAGUAUUCCUUGUUGCGGAAACCCCUCUCUAUACAAGAUUCUAGGGAGUGGAAGGCGGUACCUGUUGAUCUGCCUUUACGGUAUAAAUAUUACUUUAACGGCCAGCCACCUGGAUGGAAUGUGCCUUAGUGCAAGGCAACCGUGGAAGAUGGCUACCAGCCAAGGGAGUGAUGUGUUUAGUGUUCGUUGUAGUGGGGCCGUGAAGAACCCAUCAGAGCCGGGGGAUUUGAAGGUCUUAAAAGAAUUAAUAGCCCACUUGAUGCGGUCAGGGCUAUGCUCUGAUCGUCGAGGGUCCCCUCUAUGUAGAGGUCCUCCACUGGUUGGGUGUUUUUAGGGAAAUGGGUGUCUAGCAGAAGUUCAAGGGCUUGGCUGUUUUCCGUCCAGGUGUCAUCAUUGGUUUUAAGGUAGCCAAUGUUUGCUGGAGGUUUUGCUAAGAUUCUUCUGAAUCUGGAUGCCUCCGCAGUACAUUCUAUGCUACUGCAGAAGCCCAUUUCCUUCGCUUCGAUGUUCUUAUUUCUUUUUUGUAUGGGCUUAGAUUUGUAUGGUUUAUGUUCCAGGAAGCUUCGCUGUUGUCAUACUUAGCUCUAUUGAAGUAGGUUCUGCACUCGCUUUAAAGGUUCGUCAGGGUUGUGUUCCACCAGGGCGGUUUGACUAUUGUUUUGACCGUUCUGCUUGGGCAAUACUUUUUUAUGGCUUCACUGCAGAUGUCAGUGAAAGUAUUGACUAGGUUAUCUAGUUCUUGACCGUUGAGUACGUGCGUAGGUGGAGCAUGUAAGUUUCUGUUGAGUAGUUUUUUGUAAUAAUCCCAGUUGGUUAGUCUUAGAUUUGUAAUGUUCUCGGCCUGAGGAAUGUCUAGAGUUAUUGAAAAUUCUAUGUACCGGUGGUCUUAGAAUGAGUGUUCGAACCCCACUUUCCACGAUUCAAGCUGGUUAAGCAGGUGAUCAGUUAUUACUGUAAUGUCUAAGAGCAGCAGAUGCUGUGGUGCAGAUAAAUCUGCAGAAACAGCGCCAUCCACUAUGUCCUGGAGUACAGUGCGCGCCGGUCGGGUCGUGCCCUGUGUGCACAGCUGCUUCAGGCUUUCGGUGAGCUCUGGGUCAGUUGGCGCGUACCCUGUAUGGUUGGCCUCCUCGUGUUCCAACUCGUCGUCACUCGGGGGUUCGAAGGACGCGCAGGCAGCGUCCGCUAGUUUAUUCGUGUCGUAGAUGCGGAGUUGCACCUUGUCGAACCCAUAGUUCGGCCGGUUCUGCUGCGUUGCGAGGGGCUCUAAGCAUGCCUGGUUAAAAAGGAUCACCAUGUUCAUGGUGACGCGAUCGGUUUUCUCCACCUUAACCACUUUCCAACCAUCUGUCGGAAGCCUCGCAAACCUUGGUGAUGACUGGUUGCGCUAUAUCCAUCGACCUCUAUCUUGUUGCUUUGGCUUGUGGUCAGAGCGAUAUUAAAGUCUGGGAUAACCGUCUUUGCCCAGGCUAUGUCCUCUAGGAAUUUUCUGUAAUCCUCCUUAGACGUUUUGUCCUCUCUUAUGGGGUUGGUGGGCAGCCGUUUGAGGAUGCGGAACGCCUUCUUCCAUUCAAGAGGCCCUGCCUGGUUAGGUGGUGUCCUUUUGAACUUAUUGGCCCUGGUGCUUACCACAAGAUCAGCCUUGGCACGCCCUUCAGGUUGGACUGGCUGGUUUGCCGCUCCUACGCUGGUGGGAGGUUUGGGCUGAUCAUUGUGGGGUUUCGGGGCUUGUCGACUGCGUUGUUCGCUGGCCUUGGCAGGUGUAUAAGUCGUGUGGACUUGGGCUAUCGGAGCACCACUCUUGGUCUUCUGAUCUCAAUAGAUUCCACGAGCUGCGGAGAAAGAACUGGUCCACCCGGGCAGAGAUCCGCUGGGCCCGGGUAAGGCAAACUUAGAACAGGCGGUCGCCACAUGCCUGAGCCCAUCGUUUGAUACUGAGUUAUUUUUUUACUCGGGCUCUUAGCCAGAUUGACUUUUGGCACGGUACGAGUUACACCUUAGUCCAGGCCGGGGUAAGAUGAGUGGGGGGGAUAGGGAAGAGGUAGGUUUAGCAUGUGGGGAGGGGUUUUUUAAAAUUUAUUUUUUAUAUUCAUUUAUUACCUACACGUAUAUACAGACUAAAAGAUAAGUACAAGCAACAGGAGUAGGGGGCCGUGAUUGCGCGGUAUCACCGCAAGGUCUUGCUUCGCGCAAUGGUAUCCACCUAGGCUGUAGCUCCUCUCCUCUCGUUAUCGAUGCGACGCAGCGUUCGCAGUACACUCGCUACGUAGGCUGCCGUCGCUCCCCAAUUCACCUCAUUCAGCAGCAUGAGGGGCAAAAAAGUUUCUAGCCGAACACUUGCCCCGGUGGUCUCCAUCAGUAUUUGGCAGUCGUAUCCAAAGCGGCGACAUUCAAAGAGGACAUGCUGAGCUUCCUCAACAAUUCCACUGCCGCACUCUGGGCAGCCGUCCUCCGUGUCGUGUUCGAAGCGCAUAAGGAAGCUUCGGAAGCAACCAUGUCCACUUAGCGCCUGCGUGAGGUAAAAAUCUACCUGGCCGUGCUUCCUGUUUACCCAAGGCUCUAUGCUGGGCAUGAGCUGGUGCGUCCAGCGUCCCUCGCUGGAGUUGUCCCAAGCUGCCUGCCAGUUGUCGACGCUCUGCAUCCUGGCACUGCUCUUCACCUCGGUCUUGGCUCUGUGGUCCGCCUGAUCGCCUGCUAGAGCCUCGCGAAUCUCCUUGGCCUCCCGCACCAGUUCACAUAGGGGAACUUGGCCUGCAAUGACAAGCGCUGCGUCGUCCGAGAAUCUCCUUGGCCUCCCGCACCAGUUCACAUAGGGGAACUUGGCCUGCAAUGACAAGCGCUGCGUCGUCCGAGAUCGUCCUAAAGGCACUCGAUAUUCUGACGGCACAAAGGCGGUACGUCGAGUUAACCCCUCGCAUGUAGCUGCUCACAGCCGUGGCCUCGGUCCACACCGGAGCAGCGUACAGCAAGUGGGAUUUGACAACGGUCGCGAGGAGCUUACGUCUGUCCUGCUUCGGUCCCCUGGUGUUCAGCAGGAUCCUGCAGAGCGAUCCCGUGAUCUCACUUGCUUUUUUAUUUACGUACUCUAAGUGUUCGCGGUAGGAGAGGCGGGUGUCCAGCAUGACUCCCAGCUACCUUAUGGCACGCUAAGAUACUAUCGUUGUCCCUCCGAUCUGGAUAUGCGCUGACUCCACUGCUUUCCUGCUUGAUAUCAGCACCGCUUAUUUUUUGUGUGAUGCCAGCUCUAGGCCCGCCAAUGAGAGCCACUCCUCCACUGCUCGAAAUGCGCAGUUUGCAGCUGCUUCCACGGCACCAACUUCCUUGGCCACCACAACCAGCGCGACAUCAUCUGCAAAGGCAACUAAUUUGGUGCUGCUCGGCAGUGGGAGCUUCAGAACUCCGUCAUACAUCGUGACUCACCUCGUAAGUCCUGGGGCCCAUAGAGGUUUCUAGGACCAGCUCCCUUUUGCUGAGGUAGCUGUGCACUACAUUCAGCAGGUAUUCCGGGAUGUUGAAGGACCGUAGUGCCUCCAGUGUUAUCGCCCAAUCGGCUGAGUUGAAAGCAUUCAGUAUGUCCAGCGUGACCACUAGAAAAUACUUUUUCGUCCCAUCUGGUACCAGCGAUGGCUUUAGCAGCAAUAUUGGUGACCCUCUCUAUCGCGUCCAGUGUCGAUUUCCCUUUCCGGAAACCGUAUUGGUUGGAAGAAAGUCCGACGGCAUCCUCCAUAGCAGCAUUAAGCCUUGUUGCAAUGACCCUUUCGAAGACCUUGCCUAUAGUGUCCAGCAGGCAGAUGGGUCUAUAAGAAGAGGCUCCACCCGUUGGUUUCCCUGGCUUUGGCAGGAGCAAGAGUUUUUGGCGCUUCCACCUGUCGGGGAAGGUCCCUUCCAGCAGGCUAGUGUAGAGCGAUGCUACCGCACCCGGAUGGAGGAAUCGCAGGGUCUUCACUGCACUGUUCGGGAUCAGAUCCGGCCCAGGUGCCUUCCUGUACUUCAAGAUUCUUGCCACAGAUAAUAUUUCCGUCUCCGUGACCGGACAUAUCGGGCUCCCAAUUUGUCGCGUCCAUCGGGGGAUGCAAUGGGGGCGGCCUUCUGGGAACAGCACUUGGACAAUACCUUCUAGGACCGCUGGGUCAGUAGGCGACCUAAUGCCGGCAUUCACACGCUUGACCACCGUCUUGGGUCGUUUUCCAGCUCGUCACAGAGCUUGAGGUAGCUUUCCCUCUUGCUGUCCCGCAUCGAUAGUUUGAGUGCCUUCUUUGCACUCCAAAAGCUCGAGUUGCAGCUAGCGAUUUCCUCACUCCACCAGUACACUGGCGCGUGGCGCUUCCAAUCCUUCCAGUGCACUGGCAAAGGUCUGUGGCCUAAAGGUGUCUUGGCGGUAGGCUUUUCUUGGCCCAGUCGUCGGCUGACUUUGACACGGAGGACCGCCAACUGUCAGCAGGAUGGCCUCAUGGUUGCUGGCCGUGAACACCUCGCCUAUCCUCCAGCGUUUGCUGCGGGAUAAAGAGCUGAGAGAGAGAGAGAUGAUUGAACCGGCCCCAGUUCUUUUGAAGGUGUGCUGGGUGCCCUCGUUCAACAGGACUAUGACCAGCGACACAAUAGCUUCGAGGAUGGUGCGCCCCCUGGCGUUGGUAUAGAGGGAGCCCCAUUCCUCGGCCCAGGCGUUAAAGUCGCCUCCGAUCACCACGUUGCUCCGUCCUCUCAGGUCGCUGCUCAACUCGUCCAGGAUCCUGCUUAAGGACGUCAGUGACAGACUGGGGCCAGAUAACAGCUGUAGAGCCACGUGCCGCCUACGUUCGCUCGGACGAACCCCUCUACUGCCCUCAUGUCCCGCACGGGUGGUGCACCCACUCCGCAGAGCCACAGUGCCGCUUUGCCUGUGCGAUCCGUGACCCAAUCGCUACUGCUUACCACUCUGUAGGGCUCACUGAGUAUCGCCACCUCAGAACCCAGCUCGCGCACCAUCUGCUUCAGGAGGUCCUGCGCGGCCUCCUGUGGUUCAGGUUUAGCCGAAUCAACUUCAUGUCGGUCCAGGUCUCCCUGUCCCGCUGGUUGUGGCUGAGCAGAAUCUGCUUCCUUUUCCCUAGCUCAUGGGUUAUUGGGUUUCUCGAACAAGUUUGUUCUUUUAAGGAAACAUAGGAGUUUGGGAAUGCUUACGCCCUGUAUGGCCGCAAGGUUCGGAAGUGUGUAGCUCCCUAGGGCUUGAAAACGUUUGAGGUUAUGCGCUGGGCAGAAGCAUAGGAGGUGUUCAAGGCUCUCCUCUUCGUCUGCUUUCAGCUGCGGCAGUAGUCGUGGUUGCUGAGUAAGACUUAUAAGACAAUGGCCCGUGAGGGCAGUUAUGAGAGUGGAAAUGUCUUCCCUGUUGCAUUGUAGGAGAGUUUUUGUUUUUUUCGGGUUGUAGUUUGGCCAAGUGAGCCUGGAAUUGUGGCAAGUUGAGGUUGCGCUCCAUCGGUUGUUGGAGAGGCUGUACAAUCUCUGCCUAAGGAGGAGCUUACAGGUAGCCAUGUGCACACCCACGGUGUCCUUAUCGCGAAGGAUAUCGGCGUUUGUCCCUUGUCUUGCUAACUGGUCUGCUAUGCAGUUGCCCUCAAUAUUACGGUGUCCAGGCAUACAGAUGAGGUUGAUUCUCAGAUGAGUGACCAUGUCAUACAGAGAUUUGCGGCAUUCAAAGAUGGUUGCUGAGCUAGCUGUAUAGGAGACGGGGGCCCUGAGGACUGCUUGACUAUCCGAAACGAUGUAAAUGUCUGUGUCGUGAUGUUCUGAUGUAUCCAGGAGGGACAUGGCUUCCUGGAUUGCCAUGACUUCCUUUUGGAAAACACUACAGUGAUGUGGUAGGCGAAAUCAGACCUUAAUGUCCAGUUCAGGCGAGAACACUCCCCCACCUGCUUGGAAAUAAGCUUGGAGCCGUAUGUUGACGUCGUUUUCGAAUUGGUUUGGGAGGAUGUCCCAGUCUGAACGGGUAGGUAUGAAGAUCUUGUAUCUUCUUUCGAAGUUGACUAUGGGUGAAACGUAGUCUUUAUCUGAUUUGCGAUCAGGAAAUUUUCCUUGCCGCAGGAUAACCACGUCGUCCACGUAACCACUUUAGUGCCCGCUUUCUGUAGAAGUGACAGUAGUUUGUUGACCACUAUUACCCAUAGAAGAGGUGAGGGUACACCGCCUUGCCGGGUUCCUCUACUGAAAGUCCUGGUCGACUGUGCGGGUCCCAUAGUAGAGUAUGAGUCCCACUAUAGGCCGCUCAAUGCCAAGUGCAGUCAGAGCACCGUUGAUAGCAGUUGGGGUGACGCUGUUGAAGGUGCCUUCUAUGUCUAGAAAAGCUGCCAAAGAGUAUUCCUUGUUGCGGAAACCCCUCUCUAUACAAGAUUCUAGGGAGUGGAAGGCGGUACCUGUUGAUCUGCCUUUACGGUAUAAAUAUUACUUUAACGGCCAGCCACCUGGAUGGAAUGUGCCUUAGUGCAAGGCAACCGUGGAAGAUGGCUACCAGCCAAGGGAGUGAUGUGUUUAGUGUCCGUUGUAGUGGGGCCGUGAAGAACCCAUCAGAGCCGGGGGAUUUGAAGGUCUUAAAAGAAUUAAUAGCCCACUUGAUGCGGUCAGGGCUGUGCUCUGAUCGUCGAGGGUCCCCUCUAUGUAGAGGUCCUCCACUGGUUGGGUGUUUUUAGGGAAAUGGGUGUCUAGCAGAAGUUCAAGGGCUUGGCUGUUUUCCGUCCAGGUGUCAUCAUUGGUUUUAAGGUAGCCAAUGUUUGCUGGAGGUUUUGCUAAGAUUCUUCUGAAUCUGGAUGCCUCCGCAGUACAUUCUAUGCUACUGCAGAAGCCCAUUUCCUUCGCUUCGAUGUUCUUAUUUCUUUUUUGUAUGGGCUUAGAUUUGUAUGGUUUAUGUUCCAGGAAGCUUCGCUGUUGUCAUACUUAGCUCUAUUGAAGUAGGUUCUGCACUCGCUUUAAAGGUUCGUCAGGGUUGUGUUCCACCAGGGCGGUUUGACUAUUGUUUUGACCGUUCUGCUUGGGCAAUACUUUUUUAUGGCUUCACUGCAGAUGUCAGUGAAAGUAUUGACUAGGUUAUCUAGUUCUUGACCGUUGAGUACGUGCGUAGGUGGAGCAUGUAAGUUUCUGUUGAGUAGUUUUUUGUAAUAAUCCCAGUUGGUUAGUCUUAGAUUUGUAAUGUUCUCGGCCUGAGGAAUGUCUAGAGUUAUUGAAAAUUCUAUGUACCGGUGGUCUUAGAAUGAGUGUUCGAACCCCACUUUCCACGAUUCAAGCUGGUUAAGCAGGUGAUCAGUUAUUACUGUAAUGUCUAAGAGCAGCAGAUGCUGUGGUGCAGAUAAAUCUGCAGAAACAGCGCCAUCCACUAUGUCCUGGAGUACAGUGCGCGCCGGUCGGGUCGUGCCCUGUGUGCACAGCUGCUUCAGGCUUUCGGUGAGCUCUGGGUCAGUUGGCGCGUACCCUGUAUGGUUGGCCUCCUCGUGUUCCAACUCGUCGUCACUCGGGGGUUCGAAGGACGCGCAGGCAGCGUCCGCUAGUUUAUUCGUGUCGUAGAUGCGGAGUUGCACCUUGUCGAACCCAUAGUUCGGCCGGUUCUGCUGCGUUGCGAGGGGCUCUAAGCAUGCCUGGUUAAAAAGGAUCACCAUGUUCAUGGUGACGCGAUCGGUUUUCUCCACCUUAACCACUUUCCAACCAUCUGUCGGAAGCCUCGCAAACCUUGGUGAUGACUGGUUGCGCUAUAUCCAUCGACCUCUAUCUUGUUGCUUUGGCUUGUGGUCAGAGCGAUAUUAAAGUCUGGGAUAACCGUCUUUGCCCAGGCUAUGUCCUCUAGGAAUUUUCUGUAAUCCUCCUUAGACGUUUUGUCCUCUCUUAUGGGGUUGGUGGGCAGCCGUUUGAGGAUGCGGAACGCCUUCUUCCAUUCAAGAGGCCCUGCCUGGUUAGGUGGUGUCCUUUUGAACUUAUUGGCCCUGGUGCUUACCACAAGAUCAGCCUUGGCACGCCCUUCAGGUUGGACUGGCUGGUUUGCCGCUCCUACGCUGGUGGGAGGUUUGGGCUGAUCAUUGUGGGGUUUCGGGGCUUGUCGACUGCGUUGUUCGCUGGCCUUGGCAGGUGUAUAAGUCGUGUGGACUUGGGCUAUCGGAGCACCACUCUUGGUCUUCUGAUCUCAAUAGAUUCCACGAGCUGCGGAGAAAGAACUGGUCCACCCGGGCAGAGAUCCGCUGGGCCCGGGUAAGGCAAACUUAGAACAGGCGGUCGCCACAUGCCUGAGCCCAUCGUUUGAUACUGAGUUAUUUUUUUACUCGGGCUCUUAGCCAGAUUGACUUUUGGCACGGUACGAGUUACACCUUAGUCCAGGCCGGGGUAAGAUGAGUGGGGGGGAUAGGGAAGAGGUAGGUUUAGCAUGUGGGGAGGGGUUUUUUAAAAUUUAUUUUUUAUAUUCAUUUAUUACCUACACGUAUAUACAGACUAAAAGAUAAGUACAAGCAACAGGAGUAGGGGGCCGUGAUUGCGCGGUAUCACCGCAAGGUCUUGCUUCGCGCAAUGGUAUCCACCUAGGCUGUAGCUCCUCUCCUCUCGUUAUCGAUGCGACGCAGCGUUCGCAGUACACUCGCUACGUAGGCUGCCGUCGCUCCCCAAUUCACCUCAUUCAGCAGCAUGAGGGGCACAAAAGUUUCUAGCCGAACACUUGCCCCGGUGGUCUCCAUCAGUAUUUGGCAGUCGUAUCCAAAGCGGCGACAUUCAAAGAGGACAUGCUGAGCUUCCUCAACAAUUCCACUGCCGCACUCUGGGCAGCCGUCCUCCGUGUCGUGUUCGAAGCGCAUAAGGAAGCUUCGGAAGCAACCAUGUCCACUUAGCGCCUGCGUGAGGUAAAAAUCUACCUGGCCGUGCUUCCUGUUUACCCAAGGCUCUAUGCUGGGCAUGAGCUGGUGCGUCCAGCGUCCCUCGCUGGAGUUGUCCCAAGCUGCCUGCCAGUUGUCGACGCUCUGCAUCCUGGCACUGCUCUUCACCUCGGUCUUGGCUCUGUGGUCCGCCUGAUCGCCUGCUAGAGCCUCGCGAAUCUCCUUGGCCUCCCGCACCAGUUCACAUAGGGGAACUUGGCCUGCAAUGACAAGCGCUGCGUCGUCCGAGAAUCUCCUUGGCCUCCCGCACCAGUUCACAUAGGGGAACUUGGCCUGCAAUGACAAGCGCUGCGUCGUCCGAGAUCGUCCUAAAGGCACUCGAUAUUCUGACGGCACAAAGGCGGUACGUCGAGUUAACCCCUCGCAUGUAGCUGCUCACAGCCGUGGCCUCGGUCCACACCGGAGCAGCGUACAGCAAGUGGGAUUUGACAACGGUCGCGAGGAGCUUACGUCUGUCCUGCUUCGGUCCCCUGGUGUUCAGCAGGAUCCUGCAGAGCGAUCCCGUGAUCUCACUUGCUUUUUUAUUUACGUACUCUAAGUGUUCGCGGUAGGAGAGGCGGGUGUCCAGCAUGACUCCCAGCUACCUUAUGGCACGCUAAGAUACUAUCGUUGUCCCUCCGAUCUGGAUAUGCGCUGACUCCACUGCUUUCCUGCUUGAUAUCAGCACCGCUUAUUUUUUGUGUGAUGCCAGCUCUAGGCCCGCCAAUGAGAGCCACUCCUCCACUGCUCGAAAUGCGCAGUUUGCAGCUGCUUCCACGGCACCAACUUCCUUGGCCACCACAACCAGCGCGACAUCAUCUGCAAAGGCAACUAAUUUGGUGCUGCUCGGCAGUGGGAGCUUCAGAACUCCGUCAUACAUCGUGACUCACCUCGUAAGUCCUGGGGCCCAUAGAGGUUUCUAGGACCAGCUCCCUUUUGCUGAGGUAGCUGUGCACUACAUUCAGCAGGUAUUCCGGGAUGUUGAAGGACCGUAGUGCCUCCAGUGUUAUCGCCCAAUCGGCUGAGUUGAAAGCAUUCAGUAUGUCCAGCGUGACCACUAGAAAAUACUUUUUCGUCCCAUCUGGUACCAGCGAUGGCUUUAGCAGCAAUGUUGGUGACCCUCUCUAUCGCGUCCAGUGUCGAUUUCCCUUUCCGGAAACCGUAUUGGUUGGAAGAAAGUCCGACGGCAUCCUCCAUAGCAGCAUUAAGCCUUGUUGCAAUGACCCUUUCGAAGACCUUGCCUAUAGUGUCCAGCAGGCAGAUGGGUCUAUAAGAAGAGGCUCCACCCGUUGGUUUCCCUGGCUUUGGCAGGAGCAAGAGUUUUUGGCGCUUCCACCUGUCGGGGAAGGUCCCUUCCAGCAGGCUAGUGUAGAGCGAUGCUACCGCACCCGGAUGGAGGAAUCGCAGGGUCUUCACUGCACUGUUCGGGAUCAGAUCCGGCCCAGGUGCCUUCCUGUACUUCAAGAUUCUUGCCACAGAUAAUAUUUCCGUCUCCGUGACCGGACAUAUCGGGCUCCCAAUUUGUCGCGUCCAUCGGGGGAUGCAAUGGGGGCGGCCUUCUGGGAACAGCACUUGGACAAUACCUUCUAGGACCGCUGGGUCAGUAGGCGACCUAAUGCCGGCAUUCACACGCUUGACCACCGUCUUGGGUCGUUUUCCAGCUCGUCACAGAGCUUGAGGUAGCUUUCCCUCUUGCUGUCCCGCAUCGAUAGUUUGAGUGCCUUCUUUGCACUCCAAAAGCUCGAGUUGCAGCUAGCGAUUUCCUCACUCCACCAGUACACUGGCGCGUGGCGCUUCCAAUCCUUCCAGUGCACUGGCAAAGGUCUGUGGCCUAAAGGUGUCUUGGCGGUAGGCUUUUCUUGGCCCAGUCGUCGGCUGACUUUGACACGGAGGACCGCCAACUGUCAGCAGGAUGGCCUCAUGGUUGCUGGCCGUGAACACCUCGCCUAUCCUCCAGCGUUUGCUGCGGGAUAAAGAGCUGAGAGAGAGAGAGAUGAUUGAACCGGCCCCAGUUCUUUUGAAGGUGUGCUGGGUGCCCUCGUUCAACAGGACUAUGACCAGCGACACAAUAGCUUCGAGGAUGGUGCGCCCCCUGGCGUUGGUAUAGAGGGAGCCCCAUUCCUCGGCCCAGGCGUUAAAGUCGCCUCCGAUCACCACGUUGCUCCGUCCUCUCAGGUCGCUGCUCAACUCGUCCAGGAUCCUGCUUAAGGACGUCAGUGACAGACUGGGGCCAGAUAACAGCUGUAGAGCCACGUGCCGCCUACGUUCGCUCGGACGAACCCCUCUACUGCCCUCAUGUCCCGCACGGGUGGUGCACCCACUCCGCAGAGCCACAGUGCCGCUUUGCCUGUGCGAUCCGUGACCCAAUCGCUACUGCUUACCACUCUGUAGGGCUCACUGAGUAUCGCCACCUCAGAACCCAGCUCGCGCACCAUCUGCUUCAGGAGGUCCUGCGCGGCCUCCUGUGGUUCAGGUUUAGCCGAAUCAACUUCAUGUCGGUCCAGGUCUCCCUGUCCCGCUGGUUGUGGCUGAGCAGAAUCUGCUUCCUGCCUGGUCUCCUUCUUUCCUGCCGCAGAGCAGAUGAAGCAUGAAGGCUACUUGCUGCACUUGGCUGCCUUGUGCCCUUGUUCACCACAUCUUAUGCAGCAAUCGCUCCUAUCCACUAGGCUCUUGCAGUUAACUGCAAUAUGCCCGGGUUCCAAGCAUUUGAAGCAUCUUGGGAGGCCUGUUCUUUCCCGGAUCCUGCAGUUGGUCCAUCCAAUCCUCACCUCGCCACGAUGAGUUGAGGGAGUUGGGCAAUCUGAUGACUGCCGACUGCGACUCCGCGUAGCCUCGGCGCAGACUCCGAACUCUGAUGCGCUCCGCAUCGAUGUCAUACUGGCUCGUAAUCGCAGCGCAGGUUUCCUGCUCCGUCGCGAUGGAGUGGAUGUCUCGUAUCUCCAAAUCGAGCAGUUUAGUCUCGUCCGACAUGGCUCGCACUGACGCUGCGUCGCCUAGCACCCUCGCGAUGCUCUCCUUCAUGGUUUCUGCGCUUUCUGCGCUGCCUUUGGCCACCUCGAGCAGUAGGUUGCCGUUAAUGAUGCGGCGUACCUUGGAUACACAGCUUCCCAAGUCCAACAACUGUUUGUCUUCCCUUAGAGUCACCAUUGCUUACACCUCGCUGUAAGAUUUCCCGCUCGCCUGGACAACGACAGCGUCGGGUCUGGCGCGACGCGUGGCCUUCGGCUCUUUCUUGACCAGCUCCCACCCGGCGACCUGAAUUGCGGGGCCCACGGUCUUACUGGCGCCAGCGUGCGCCGCCUCUCUUUUUUGUGGCCCUUUUGGAGGGUUCAUUCGGGUACUCCUGGGAGCUAUGGCUCUUUUCUGCUGCGUUGGGCGCGAUGAUGGUGGGGCCAGUUGAGCUGCGGGUCCUCCGUUUGCGCUGCAGCAUUUCUCUUCCAGACAGGCGUUGUCUGCUGUUCAUUGUCGAGCAUUUCGAGCACACGAUUGCAGCAUCCUGGCUAUUCUCCCUGAUGCUGUCUUCCUUGCCGCCCUCUCUGUUCACCUCUAGGAUGCUCGUGUGAAGCGCCUUCAUGCGCACAAACGUCUCCCUCGUGGCGACAGUUAUAUGGCGCGCCGUCUUGUCCACCAUCUUGGUGGAUAUCUCCUGCAGAAGCUUCCCCAGUUCCAAGAGAUCCUCAAGGCAGGUUGCCUCGUGGAAGGCCUUGCUCCUUUUGGGCGGCGUUGUCCUCUGCGAGUUUUCUGGGCUUGCAGGAUCACGCGUUCUCUUAGGGGUUUCCUUAACUUACUUAGUAUCUGCGAUCAGCUCAUAAACUUGGGUUGACGAAGGUGGCGUCGAGCGGGCGAUCUUUCUGCCCCUCCUAAAUGCCGCUGCAACUCCAUCGGUCCCCUCUUCCCUCGGAUGGCGGGGAGAUCUUACCUCCACUGGUCUGCCCACGAAAGGGUUUUCAGCCUCCUCCAUCUCAGGCUUCCCGGUUUGCUCGAGGGAGGCUCCAGCGCUGGCCACAGAUUUCCCCUUGGCUUACGAUAGGGGAUAUACCGCCCCUUUUCGGUCCCCAGUCCUACAGUUCAGUAAAUCUUUUCUAUAUAAAUCCAAUCGUUGCAUUUGCCAGAGAGCCCGCCUAGUAUUCUUUCCAGCUCAACAACCAAAUCGUCUGGCUUCCUUGUCAGCUCCCACGAAGUUCUUGCCGUUACCCAGCGCAGCAUGCCUUCGACUGCAGACAAAAUUUCUGAUCGGAAUUAUGCAGGAAUCUGCCGACGGGUACGUGAACAGUGCUACCCAUCGCUUCUCAUGGUAUCGAGUCACAGUCACCAGCAAUGGCCCAAAAUAUUCCAGUACACUGUUCCUUAACGGCCAUACAUUGGCCUUCAAGCGAAGGCGCUAAAAAUUCCUUAAUAGCUGACUGUAGCUCGAGAAUCUGAAAUGAAAUACAAAAGUCGCUUGCUGCAACAAACGGAAUCCACUUCGAUCUUACUCGUCGUCGGUUAUAUCCGGACCUCGUUUAACUUCGGAUUCAGCUUGUGACCAGCUGCCCUCUGACUGCCUCAAAGCCGACUGUCCGCCUAGCCAUUGUGACUUCUGACUGAGGUCCACGUGGCACUGCAAGCGGGUUGCAUCAUCCGCCACACUCUAUUGGGAUACCUUUGUCGACUCCAAGAGUUCGGCCACACAAUUGCCGAUAAACUGUUUGUAAUUGCUAUGUGCGCUGCCGAUUAAACAAAGCCUUAGAGUCGGUCCACAGCACGAUUUUAUUGAUGGCCACACUGUGGCCCUCAUGACAGCGUCCAUCAGUCUCGUUCCAAGAAUACUGCCUGCAGUUUAAGCCGUGGGACUGACAUUGUUCGCAUCGGGGCGCGCUUUGUUUUGGCACAUACAGAGCUUACUAGCACGUCGUCACCCUCGUGAGUGACCAUCAAGUAGGCCAUUGCCGCAAAGGCUGAUUGACUUGCAUCCAUGAAAGCGGGAAAAUCUAUUUCCCGUAAAAAUCCGCGCCAAAAAAAAUGGUGUGGACAUCUUAACUGUUCAGUUCACAAAGGCUCUGUUGAUUUCACACUGCAGUGCACUUUCUGCCUCCAGAUAUCUCGCUACAGCAACUUAGCUGUUAUCUUGAGACAGCAGAGAAAUCACAGAGGAUCGACCGUAGACAUAACCAAGCUCUAAAAUUCCAUCUUUGUAGGGACUCGUUCACCGUUCAAUACGCCAAUACAUUCCCAAAAUCUUCUGUUUAGACUCACCCAUCCGACGCACAACACGUGUCCUGGUUGACCAAUGCUUUCUCUACAACGGGCAAACUGGAUAAAAACUAGCAUACCUCAAAUUCAGCGUUUGCAUGUAUCUUCUUCACUCGGGUAUAUACAAUGAUGGCUUCGCUCCCGGUAGCAAAACUGUCACAUAGUCAUCCACAGAAUGAAAAUCGAUGACUGCUUUCGGAUCUGAAUGCUCAAACUGUUUGGCAUUCACAGUAUUCACGUAAUGCGCGGCACUUGGCGAGCCGGCUGCUCCGAGGGUCUUUACGUUCAUCUCGAAGACAUCAGGAUCCCUGUUAUCGUCGCCAUCUCUCCCCAGGAAGCGUUGGCAAAACCAAUCCUCGGGUUGGAUCAGAGCUUGCCCCUCCAUAAAUCUAAUGUUGCUGUCUUUUGUUUAGGGCCUUCAGCUUUGGCAUCAAGAAGCAACCGAAUCUUUUCUGACCAAUUAGUGUUUUCGACGACAAAAUCAAUUAAGUACAAUAGCCAGUCGUCUUCCGUCGCGACUUUGUUGGGUUUCAGUCGUUGCGUAUCAUCUUCUUCUCGACAUUGAUUAAUUACUUGUACGCCAUAGUAAGCAUGUCUGGUAACUUAGCCCAAUCUCACCGUCGUGUCUUCGAGUAUUCUUUGUGCCAGCAGAGCUUCACACCAAAGUUUUCAUUAUAAAAAUAGUCUUCUACCAUCCUCUUAACAGUUCAUCCGUAGGCACAGUUAAAAGGCAAGAUGGUGAAACAUAUUUUCCACUUACAGGCCCAAAGGAACCCCUCCCAGCUCGGUUGCGGUCGCAUGUUGUCCCAGUCUGCCAAAACGUCGUGAUGGGACUCAUCGGUAGAGGCAAAUUCUAACGCACGCCUUGAAUAUCUCGUCGUUGUAGGGCCUGCAUUGACAGGCUCAGGUGCGGAAGUGAAUACACGUUUCGCAACGCGCGAUUGCUUACCUAAUCCACUGAUUUGCAGACUCACGACAUCGAGUAAAAGGCGGAAAGUAUGUAAUAGGAAGAAGGAAGCGUUUCCCACCCUAUAAAGAAUAUAUAUACUAGUCAAUCUAGACAUGUCCGCCUGUUCGUAUGAACGCUGAGAUCAUGGAAACUACAGGAGCCAGAUUCUUCUUCAAGUUUAUUUCAUCGAAGGGUCACGCUAACUACGACGCCUAUGACUCUGAAACCUGUCUAGCACCCACAUUUUGGAAAACUUUUGGAAAGUUGUGAUUGGGAUUUUAUUCUGACUAGAAAAUUAAUUUUCGCAUGUAGAUAAAUAUUGAUAUUUAUCUACAUGCGAAAAUUAAUGUUCUAUUAUUGUUCAAAUUCACCAUUCACUAAAAUGUUAUAUCCAAAUAAUAACCAAACGCCCAUAGAACCUGUCUAGCAUCCACAUUUUUGAAAAAAUUUGAAAAAGUGUUAUUGCUAUUUCGUUCUUACUAUCAUUACCCAUCUACAUGCCAAAUCUCUUGCUUUGUUAUUAUUCGAGUCCACUAUUCACUAAAAAGUUAUAAGUUAUAUAAUAAUAAUCAGUAGUCUCGAUUGAAUAAGCUACAGUGUAACAGGGAUGGACCAUGCAGUUAGCAUGACAUUGCAAAUUUACUAACACGCCACUCAGAGUAAGUCCAUAUAAAAUUUAGCUUCCCUUUUUUGCCCUAUCUUCGCAUGGGAACUAUAUGAUACAGUUGUCCGAUGUGGUACGUUCAGACUUACAUACUACAUGCAAUAAAAAUAAGUCUUUUGGAAUAGUUUUAUCCCGAUAGCUUUAUAUAUGGGAAACUAGUUUCUAUAAAUCGACACUUCUAGUGACGCCGAUUAAUAAUAUGUUUGUCUUUUAGGGUCGGAAACGUCUUCUAAUCUGCAAUACAAACACGUGACUAAAAUUCUAAUACCCACUGCAAGGGAAUACAAAUAAUUUCCCUCAUGUUUUUGGGUAUUUUUGAGGAAUACAAAAUUCUUUUUCAGUAUAUUUCUUCCUAAAUGUGGGUGUUUUAAGCAUUGAACAUCGUUUCACUUAGAUUGCGUAAGACUUAGAUAGUUUUUUCUGUGUUAUGAUCCACGCAUAAAUUUUCAAUUAAAUGUGUAGUUUAGUUUUUUUUUUGUAUUUUGUCGUUAAUUUUGGAAAGUAUUGACAAUAUCGAUGAUAAUUACUAUCAUAGAUUUACCAACAUUACUGGACAUGAUGGCUUGAAGCACAUUGUACUGAAGUUUUAGUUAAAUAGUAUUUUUUUAUGUUUUAUGAGUUAUGCAUCAAUUCUCAAUAUAAUUUAUUGUUUAGUUUUCUAUUGUUUUUCCAUUUUGUCGUUAGUAAUAGCCAAGUCUAUCGAUGAUGUCCAUUAUAAUAUUAUUACUAUUAUUAUAUAUUACUUUUGCGAAACCUUAGCCCGCAUUUGUUUUUUUUUCAAUUUUUGGAUAUUUAACAUUCUACAAAAGCCAUUUACGGUUUGGAUAUCACAAGUGGAGUUUUCCGCCGAAAAUAAUAAAAAUUAACCAACAUUUUUGUUUUUCACUAUUUUCAUUUAAAGAUAAAGUCGAAAAGUUAAGUACCCAUGCACAGUUUUUAUUGGCGUGGCACUUAAAUCCUAGGAACACUAAAAGCGAUCAUACAAAAAUCGUAGUUUUGAAACACAUUGCAAACCCGAAACAUUUUGCUUCUUUAUACCCGUAUAGAGGCUACAAAAAUUUUGGUCUAAAGUUUGUAACGCAGUGAAUAAGCCGUUUCCGACCUUAUGAAGUUUAUAUAGUCUAGAUCAGCAUCACUAGACGAGUCUAUAUAGCAGCGGUCGGCAGCACGUCAUUAAGCGGGCAUACAGCAUAAGAGCUCUGUUCGUUUUCUGCCACCACACGUUAAGUGUACAACAUCGGUCGGCACUCACACAACGAUAAGCUGAACCGCGCAAAUUACUCACACUAAUGAAAAGCAAAAUUUAUGUUAUUAUCAGGGCUCUCACAGAAACCUUCGAUGGCUUAUGUUGGUUGGAUUCCAAAGCAACCGUUGGUUUUACAGACUCUAUAGAGUUUCAGAGAAAACUUGUUCUGAUUUUGACUUGGCGAGAGUUGCCAUGGUACGCAGACAAAAGGAGUUUCCUGGAUUCAAUUUGUAACAUACUCUAUUGUGUUUGUUUUACGUAAGAAAAAUUGCACAGGCUAACAGAAAUUGUAUAUGCCUGUUACCAUUUUAUUUCGAUAAAAUAGGCGUUUACAACAUAAAUUGCAACUUUUACUAUAUUCGGUACUUGCGCUAUUUAUAAAUCUUUCUUUCAUAUACAUGCAAAUUAAAACAAGGAAGAACGCUAUAGUCGAGUACCUCGACUAUCAGAUACCCGUUACUCAGCUAAAGGGACCAAAGG